UUGUCUGGAGGAAUUUCCGGAGGAUAUCCUGGAGGAACUUCCGGUGGAAUUCCUUGAGAAACUUCCUGAGGAAUUGCUGGAGUUACUUCUGUAAGGAAUUCCUGUGGAUACUUCCGGAUGAAUUCCUGGAGGAUUUCCUGGAGGAAGUUCCGGAAAAAUUCUUGGAGGGACUUCCGCAGAAAUUACUGGAGGAACUUCCGCAGGAUUUCCAGAGGAAUUCCUUGAGGAACUUCCACAGGAGUUUCUAGAGGAGCUUUCGGAGGAGUUCUUGAAAUAACUUCUUGAUGAAUUCCUGGAGGAUGUUCCGAAGGAUUGCCUGGAGGGACUUCCAGAGGAAUUCCGGGAGGAUCUUCCGGAGAAGUUCACGGGAGAAUUUCUUAAGGAAUUCGUGGAGGAACUUCCGGAAAAAUUCCUGGAGUAAUUUCCGGAAGAAUUAAUGAAGGAAUUCCUGGAGCAACUUUCAGUGGAGUUCCUUGAGAAACUUCCUGAGGAAUUGCUGGAUGAAAUUACGCAGGAAUUACUGGAGGAACUUCCAGAAGAAUUCCUGGAGGAACUUCCGGAAGAAUUCCUGGAGGAACUUCUGGAGCAAUUCCUGGAGGAACUUCCAGAGGAAUUCCUGGAGGAACUUCCGCAGGAUUACAUGGAAGAUCUUCCGAAGGCAUUCCUGGAGGAACUUCCGGAGGAAUUCCUAAGGAAACUUCCGGAGGAAUCCCUGGAAAAACUUCCGGAAGAUUUCCUGGAAAAACUUCCGGAGGAUUUCCUGGAGGAACUUUUACAGGAGGAACUUCCGGAAUAAUUCAUGGAGGGACUUCCGCAGAGAUUACUGGAGGAACUUCCGCAGGAUUUCAAGAGGAAACCCUGGAAGAACAUCCGGAGGAUUUUCUGGUGGAACUUCUGGAGGAAUUGCUGGUGAAACUUCUGCAGGAAUUCCUGGAGGAACUUACGGAGGAAAUCCUGGAGGAACUUCCUGAGGAAUUGCUGGAGGAAAUUACGGAGGAAUUACUGGAGGAAAUUACGGAGGAAUUCCUGAAGGAACUGCCGCGGGAGUUCUUGGGGGUACUUCCGGAUGACUCUCUGGAGGAUCUUUCGAAGGAUUUCCUGGAGGAACUUCCGGAUAAAUUCAUGGAGAGACUUCCACAGGAAUUACUGGAGGAACUUCCGUAGGAAUUCCUGGAGUAACUUCCGCAGGAUUUCCUGGAGGAACUUUUGGCGGAAUUCCCGGAGGAAUUUGCAGAGGAAUUCCUGGAGGAACAUCCGGAGGAUUUCCUGGUGGAACUUCAGGAGGAAUUACUGAAGAAAUUUCUCCAUGAAUUGCUGGAGGAGGAAUUCUUUGAGGUACAUAUGGAGGAUUUUCUUGAGGAACUUUGGAGGAAUUCCUGAAAGAACUUCUGCCGGAGUCCCUGGAGGAACAUCUGGAGGAGUUUUCGAAGGAACUUUUGGAUGAUUUUUUGGCGAGCUUAUGGAGGAAUUCCUGUUGGAUGUAUUGGUAGUCAAAUGGUGUCAGACGGCGGUACCAAGAUCGAUAUAGCUGCACGGAUCAAGAAAGCAAGGGCUACCUUUGCGAGUUUAAGAAAUGCCUGGAAAAACAGGCGGCAGAUUUGUGAACGUACCAAAAUCCGAAUUUUUAAUUCUAACGUGAAGUCAGUGCUGCAACACGUUAAUAAAACAUGGUGUGAAUCACUGGAGAACACUCAACGGCUGCAGGUGUUUAUCAACAGAUGUCCACGGUACAUAAUUCGUGCCCGGAGGCCUGGUGGUCACAACUGGAUCUCAAACAACGAGCUUUAUUGUCGUUGUCACUAGAGGCAGAUAGCGACUAAAAUUCGGGAACGGAAGUGGGACUGGGUCGAUCCCAGGGGCGGAAAUGAAACCUAUAAACAUUAGACUGGAACCCAGCUGGACAUCGUAACAGAGGCAGACCCAGGGGCUCAUGGCGACGAAGCCUCCAUAAAAAAAUUUAAGAAAUCAACAGAAGUCUAACUUGGCAACAGGUUAAGGCGAUAGCUGGACAACGAUCAUCAAGUCGGCCCUUUGUACCACUCGAUGUGUACAGGACCCAUAAAUUAACUGGACUAAAUCCUAACUAACAAACACGAAACGCACUUCCCAAAACAAAGCGAUGUGGGUUUCUCGUGAGCCUUGAUGCCCGGCUAGAAUAAACGGAGCACUGACAUCGCCUCUGGCCAUCACCUUCUAAUUGGCGAGAUCCAACUAUGCAACGGCACAGAUCAUGCAUGCCUACAUUUUAUGAUAUGGCUCACAGCUGGAUUCAAGAGAUAAAUAGAGAUCACAUUCUUCGUGCUACCAACAAGACGAAUCUGUAAAGAAAACCAGCGUCUGGAAGUAUUUUUCAGUAAUGGCCUAAAGGUCAGUUCAAAGUGUUACUGAACUGAUUCGUCGUUGCCAAAAAUAAUGUAGGAUAAACACGGUGAAGAAGCGCUUAUCCUCCAGGAUUACAUACCAUCCAACCAGUCCCAUACAAUUAAAUUUCGAGUCAAGUACGAGACACUGAAGACGGCCUUAAAGUUUAGGUUCCAUUUUUGUUACUAUUUUGAUUAGGAAUGUGUCUGUGUCUGGAAUGUCUUCACUUUUCAAGUCAAGUAUACUCAGAAUAUACGAAUACGAGAACUGAAAACGGCCUUUCUGUUGAGGACGAAAUGCGUAUCUGUAAAAUUAGAAUCAAGCGGUGGAAUUAUAUGGGAUAGUAGUAACUGCUCUUAGGACAAGCUUCUUCUUCUUCUUCUUAUUGGCAUUACAUCCCCAAAUUGGGACAGAGCCGCCUCGCAGCUUAGUGUUCAUUAAGCACUUCGACAGUUAUUAACUGCGAGGUUUCUAAGCCAGGUUACCAUUUUUGCAUUCGUAUAUCAUGAGGCUAGCACGAUGAUACUUUUAUGCCCAGGGAAGUCGAGACAAUUUCCAAUCCUAAAAUUGCCUAGACCGGCACCGGGAAUCGAACCCAGCCACCCUCAGCAUGGUCUUGUUUGUAGCCGCGCGUCUUACCGCACGGCUAAGGAGGGCCCUUAGGACAAGCACAUUACAUUAAUAACAAAUAAGUGAUUCGAAUAUUAUUAUUCUAACAAAGAACAUACCAAACAAAAUAUUUGAAAAAAAAAAUUAAAAAACUACAAAGUAGAACUUAAAAUUUUACAAAGAAAUUAGAUAUAACAUGUAUAAUUAAAAACCAUAAAAUCAACAUAAUAUAAAAAUUGAACUGUGUAAUGUGUAAAAAUGGUUAAUAAAUUGUGAAAUC